GAUGAACGCUAGCUACAGGCUUAACACAUGCAAGUCGAGGGACCGGCGCACGGGUGAGUAACACGUAUCCAACCUGCCCUUUACUCGGGGAUAGCCUUUCGAAAGAAAGAUUAAUACCCGAUAUAAAGGAUGGGGAUGCGUUCCAUUAGGUUGUUGGUGAGGUUACGGCUCACCCAGCCUUCGGUGGAUAGGGGUUCUGAGAGGAAGGUCCCCCGCAAUGGAACUGAGGCACAGUCCAAACUCCUACGGGAGGGAGGAGUUUGGAAUAUUGGUGAAAGGGCGCUAGCCUUAACCAGCCAGGUAGCGUGAAGGGUGAAGGGUUUGGGGUCUUAAACUUCUUUUAAGGAAGGAUAUUUAUUAUAUGAAUAAGGAUCGGCUAACUCCGUGCCAGCAGCCGCGGUAAUAC
rnacentral:rRNA from 1 species